GUCGAACGAGCGCUUGAUUCUUCGGAAGAUUGCGCUUAGUGGCGGACGGGUGAGUAACGCGUGGGUACUUGCCUCACACAGGGGGAUAACAGUUGGAAACGACCGCUAAUACCGCAUAACGCCGCAUGGCAAAAGAUUUAUCGGUGUGAGAUGGACCCGCGUUGGAUUAGCUAGUUGGCAGGGUAACGGCCUACCAAGGCGACGAUCCAUAGCCGGCCUGAGAGGGUGAACGGCCACAUUGGGACUGAGACACGGCCCAAACUCCUACGGGAGGCAGCAGUGGGGAAUAUUGCACAAUGGGGGAAACCCUGAUGCAGCGACGCCGCGUGAGUGAAGAAGUGUUUCGGUAUGUAAAGCUCUAUCAGCAGGGAAGAAAAUGACGGUACCUGACUAAGAAGCCCCGGCUAACUACGUGCCAGCAGCCGCGGUAAUACGUAGGGGGCAAGCGUUAUCCGGAUUUACUGGGUGUAAAGGGAGCGUAGACGGCUAAGCAAGUCAGAAGUGAAAGGCUGGG
rnacentral:rRNA from 1 species